rnacentral:rRNA from 1 species
AGUGAACGCUGGCGGUAGGCCUAACACAUGCAAGUCGAACGGCAGCACAGUAAGAGCUUGCUCUUACGGGUGGCGAGUGGCGGACGGGUGAGGAAUACAUCGGAAUCUACUUUUUCGUGGGGGAUAACGUAGGGAAACUUACGCUAAUACCGCAUACUACCUACGGGUGAAAGCAGGGGAUCGUCGGACCUUGCGCGAUUGAAUGAGCCGAUGUCGGAUUAGCUAGUUGGCGGGGUAAAGGCCCACCAAGGCGACGAUCCGUAGCUGGUCUGAGAGGAUGAUCAGCCACACUGGAACUGAGACACGGUCCAGACUCCUACGGGAGGCAGCAGUGGGGAAUAUUGGACAAUGGGCGCAAGCCUGAUCCAGCCAUACCGCGUGGGUGAAGAAGGCCUUCGGGUUGUAAAGCCCUUUUGUUGGGAAAGAAAAGCAGCAGGUUAAUACCCCGCUGUUCUGACGGUACCCAAAGAAUAAGCACCGGCUAACUUCGUG